rnacentral:rRNA from 1 species
GGCUCGUGAAGCGAUAAAGGUCCUUCGGUUCCUAAAAGAUAUUGUCCUCAAGGGAAGAUAAUGGCGGUGCUGAGGAGGAAGCCCCCGCCUAACUUCCUCCCGCAGCCGCGGUAAAUACGUAGGGGGCUAGCGUUAUCCGAAUUCUGGGCGUAAAGGGUGCGUAGGUGGUUUUUAAGUCAGAAGUGAAAGCCCCGGCUCAUCCGUGGGAAGCCUUUGAACUUGAGAACUUGAGUCCGGAGAGGAGAGUAGAAUCCUAGUGUAGCGGUGAAAUGCGUAGAUAUUAGGAGGAAUCCAGUAGCGAAGGCGGCUUUUUGGUCUGUAACUGGCACUGAGGCGCGCAAACGUGGGGAGCAAACAGGAUUAGAUUCCCUGGUAGUUCACCCCGUAAACGAUGAGUACUAGGUGUCGGGGGUUUUCCCCCUCGGUGCCCCAGCUAACCCCCUAUAAUACUCCGCCUGGGAAGUACGCUCGCAAGAGUGAAACUCAAAGGAAUUCACGGGGGGCCCCCCAAGUAGCGGAGCAUGUGGUGUUAUUUGAAACAACGCGAAGAACCCUUCCUAAGCUUGACAUCCCUCUGACCUCUCCUUAAUCGGAGAUUUCCCUUCGGGGACAGUGGUGACAGGUGGUGCAUGGUUGUCGUCAGCUCGUGUCGUGAGAUGUUGGGUUAAGUCCCGCAACGAGCGCAACCCUUACCUUUAGUUGCCAGCAUUAAGUUGGGCACUCUAGAGGGACUCCCGAGGAUAACUCGGAGGAAGGUGGGGAUGACGUCAAAUCAUCAUGCCCCUUAUGCUUAGGGCUACACACGUGCUACAAUGGGUGGUACAGAGGGUUGCCAAGCCGCGAGGUGGAGCUAAUCCCUUAAAACCAUUCUCAGUUCGGAUUGUAGGCUGAAACUCGCCUACAUGAAGCUGGAGUUACUAGUAAUCGCAGAUCAGAAUGCUGCGGUGAAUGCGUUCCCGGGUCUUGUACACACCCCCCAUCACGCCAUGGAAGUUGGGGGCGCCCGAAACCGGUUAGCUAACCUUUAGGAAGCGAGCCCGUCCUUAA